rnacentral:rRNA from 1 species
GUAGGUGGCAAGCGUUAUCCGGGAUUAUUGGGCGUAAAGCGCGCGCAGGCGGUUUCUUAAGUCUGAUGUGAAAGCCCACGGCUCAACCGUGGAGGGUCAUUGGAAACUGGGGAACUUGAGUGCAGAAGAGAAAAGCGGAAUUCCACGUGUAGCGGUGAAAUGCGUAGAGAUGUGGAGGAACACCAGCGGCGAAGGCGGCUUUUUGGUCUGUAACUGACGCUGAGGCGCGAAAGCGUGGGGAGCAAACAGGGAUUAGAUACCCUGGUAGUCCACGCCGUAAACGAUGAGUGCUAAGUGUUAGAGGGUUUCCGCCCCUUUAGUGCUGCAGCUAACGCAUUAAGCACUCCGCCUGGGGAGUACGGUCGCAAGACUG